UCACCUGGAGUCUUAUUAAAAUGCAGGUCUGGGUAGGGCCUGAGAUUCUGCAUUUCUAACUAGCUCCCAGGUGGAGCUAA
rnacentral:miRNA from 1 species